UCCUUAGUAGCUCAGAUGGUAAAGUAUCUGCCUGCAAUGCAGGAGACCCAGGUUCAAUCCCUGGGUUGGGAA
rnacentral:tRNA from 1 species